rnacentral:tRNA from 1 species
GCCCACGUAGCUCAGCAGGCAGAGCACAUUCUUGGUAAGAAUGAGGUCAUGAGUUCAAGUCUCAUCGUGGGCU